rfam:Clostridium tetanomorphum DSM 665 contig129, whole genome shotgun sequence.
AAAUAAUAUAUGUAAUGGAGUUUUCUGUAAAGUUUUGUAGAAAUUAAAAGGGAAUGAGGUUUGAAUCCUCAACGGUCCGGCCACUGUAAUUGGUGAGCUACUUCCAGUAUGCCAUUGAGAAUAUUCUUGAGAAGGCGGAAGAAAGUGAUGAACCAAAAGUCAGGAUACCUGCUUUAUAUGUUGAUACAAC